UACGGAGGGGGCUAGCGUUGUUCGGAAUUACUGGGCGUAAAGCGCACGUAGGCGGACUGGAAAGUCAGGGGUGAAAUCCCGGGGCUCAACCCCGGAACUGCCCUUGAAACUCCCAGUCUUGAGGUCGAGAGAGGUGAGUGGAAUUCCGAGUGUAGAGGUGAAAUUCGUAGAUAUUCGGAGGAACACCAGUGGCGAAGGCGGCUCACGGGCUCGAUACUGACUUUGAGGUGCGAAAGCGUGGGGAGCAAACAGG
rnacentral:rRNA from 1 species